rnacentral:lncRNA from 1 species
CUCCUGGGGGAAUUAAAGGAAAGGCCCAUGGGGCCUCCAGCAGCAGCCUACACACAGCGCAGAUGAAGCCCACCGCCUCUGACCCGUGAAGGACUUGCCUGAGGCCUUCGUCCAGAACCUUCUCAGACAUGACAAGCUACUGAACCCAAGGACUGUGCCUUGGUCCUCCCAGCUCCCAGCACAGUGCUUGGCAUACAGUUCGUCAUGCUGCGAAAUACACAAGACAAAGCCUAAACCAUCUGCUCUCACGGAGGCCUUCCUCCUGCGCUCAGGCCCUGUCUGCCUUUCUGGUCCACUUCCCAUCAUGCUCCUGACACAAGCACACUGCCCCUGUUACCUGCACAUGCCACACUCUGAAACGUCUCCUCGUGCCUGGAAGUCCCUCUCUCACUUCUCCUGCCACCAUCACCUCCAUGCUUCAAAGCUCAGCCUAAAAGUCACCUCCUGUGGGAAACCUUCUCUCAAUAUCCCUCUUUUACCCAGAAAAUGUGAAUUGCGCUGAAAUGAUCUGAUUGCAUUUGUCACGUUGUGAAGAACCUGAUUGAUUCCUGUGUCACAUUCACUUUUUUCUCUAACAGUCCUGGCACAUAGUAUGUGCGUAAUAAAUACAUGUAUUAUAAACAAAUGAAAAAAUGAAGGAAUGAACUCUUUCUCCUUGAAUUCCAAGUACUCCAUACUCUGCCAACCAGCUAUUUUUUUUCAGCCUGACUUCCUAACUCCGCAUCUUCC